rnacentral:rRNA from 1 species
AUGUCCGGGCGCGGCAAGGGAGGCAAGGGACUCGGCAAGGGCGGCGCCAAGCGCCACCGGAAGGUGCUGCGCGACAACAUCCAGGGCAUCACCAAGCCGGCCAUCCGCCGCCUGGCUCGCCGUGGAGGCGUGAAGCGCAUCUCGGGGCUCAUCUACGAGGAGACCCGCGGCGUGCUCAAGAUCUUCCUCGAGAACGUCAUCCGCGACGCCGUCACCUACACCGAGCACGCCCGCCGCAAGACCGUCACCGCAAUGGACGUCGUCUACGCCCUCAAGCGCCAGGGACGCACCCUCUACGGCUUCGGCGGCUAG